AAGUGCACCCCCCUGGUUUCGGCCCAGAUUUAGGCAGUAUAUAUGCCCUCUUU
rnacentral:tRNA from 1 species